rnacentral:rRNA from 1 species
GACGGAAAGACCCCGUGAACCUUUACUAUAGCUUGACACUGAACAUUGAGCCUUGAUGUGUAGGAUAGGUGGGAGGCUUAGAAGUGUGGACGCCAGUCUGCAUGGAGCCGACCUUGAAAUACCACCCUUUAAUGUUUGAUGUUCUAACGUUGACCCGUAAUCCGGGUUGCGGACAGUGUCUGGUGGGUAGUUUGACUGGGGCGGUCUCCUCCUAAAGAGUAACGGAGGAGCACGAAGGUUGGCUAAUCCUGGUCGGACAUCAGGAGGUUAGUGCAAUGGCAUAAGCCAGCUUGACUGCGAGCGUGACGGCGCGAGCAGGUGCGAAAGCAGGUCAUAGUGAUCCGGUGGUUCUGAAUGGAAGGGCCAUCGCUCAACGGAUAAAAGGUACUCCGGGGAUAACAGGCUGAUACCGCCCAAGAGUUCAUAUCGACGGCGGUGUUUGGCACCUCGAUGUCGGCUCAUCACAUCCUGGGGCUGAAGUAGGUCCCAAGGGUAUGGCUGUUCGCCAUUUAAAGUGGUACGCGAGCUGGGUUUAGAACGUCGUGAGACAGUUCGGUCCCUAUCUGCCGUGGGCGCUGGAGAACUGAGGGGGGCUGCUCCUAGUACGAGAGGACCGGAGUGGACGCAUCACUGGUGUUCGGGUUGUCAUGCCAAUGGCACUGCCCGGUAGCUAAAUGCGGAAGAGAUAAGUGCUGAAAGCAUCUAAGCACGAAACUUGCC